rnacentral:rRNA from 1 species
GACGAAGGUGGCAAGCGUUGUUCGGUGUUACUGGGCUUAAAGAGUGUGUAGGCGGAAUCGUAAGCGUCUUGUGAAAUCCCUGAGCUUAACUCAGGAAUUGCUUGGCGAACUGCUUUUCUUGAGGCAAGUAGGGGUGCAUGGAACUGUUGGUGGAGCGGUGGAAUGCGUAGAUAUCAACAGGAACGCCAGUGGUGAAAACGGUGCACUGGGCUUGACCUGACGCUGAGACACGAAAGCGUGGGGAGCGAACGGGAUUAGAUACCCCGGUA